rnacentral:rRNA from 1 species
UGGCGUCAUGCAGGUAAGUGAGAAACGGGGUCCUUUUAUUUUAUUUUGCGGACGGGUGAGUAACACGUGGGCAACCUACCUUAUAGUUUGGGAUAACUCCGGGAAACCGGGGCUAAUACCGAAUAAUCUGUUUCACCUCAGGGUGAAAUAUUGAAAGACGGUUUCGGCUGUCGCUAUAGGAUGGGCCCGCGGCGCAUUAGCUAGUUGGUGAGGUAACGGCUCACCAAGGCGACGAUGCGUAGCCGACCUGAGAGGGUGAUCGGCCACACUGGGACUGAGACACGGCCCAGACUCCUACGGGAGGCAGCAGUAGGGAAUCUUCCACAAUGGGCGAAAGCCUGAUGGAGCAACGCCGCGUGAGUGAAGAAGGAUUUCGGUUCGUAAAACUCUGUUGUAAGGGAAGAACAAGUACAGUAGUAACUGGCCUGUACCUUGACGGUACCUUAUUAGAAAGCCACGGCUAACUACGUGCCAGCAGCCGCGGUAAUACGUAGGUGGCAAGCGUUGUCCGGGAAUUAUUGGGCGUAAAGCGCGCGCAGGUGGUUUCUUAAGUCUGAUGUGAAAGCCCACGGCUCAACCGUGGAGGGUCAUUGGAAACUGGGAGACUUGAGUGCAGAAGAGGAUAGUGGAAUUCCAAGUGUAGCGGUGAAAUGCGUAGAGAUUUGGAGGAACACCAGUGGCGAAGGCGACUAUCUGGUCUGUAACUGACACUGAGGCGCGAAAGCGUGGGGAGCAAACAGGAUUAGAUACCCUGGUAGUCCACGCCGUAAACGAUGAGUGCUAAGUGUUAGGGGGUUUCCGCCCCUUAGUGCUGCAGCUAACGCAUUAAGCACUCCGCCUGGGGAGUACGGUCGCAAGACUGAAACUCAAAGGAAUUGACGGGGGGCCCGCACAAGCGGUGGAGCAUGUGGUUUAAUUCGAAGCAACGCGAAGAAACCUUACCAGGUCUUGACAUCCCGUUGACCACUGUAGAGAUUAUGGUUUCCCCUUUCAGGGGCAACGGUGACAGGUGGUGCAUGGUUGUCGUCAGCUCGUGUCGUGAGAUGUUGGGUUAAGUCCCGCAACGAGCGCAACCCUUGAUCUUAGUUGCCAUCAUUUAGUUGGGCACUCUAAGGUGACUGCCGGUGACAAACCGGAGGAAGGGGGGAUGACGUCAAAUCAUCAUGCCCCUUAUGACCUGGGCUACACACGUGCUACAAUGGACGAUACAAACGGUUGCCAACUCGCGAGAGGGAGCUAAUCCGAUAAAGUCGUUCUCAGUUCGGAUUGUAGGCUGCAACUCGCCUACAUGAAGCCGGAAUCGCUGGUAAUCGCGGAUCAGCAUGCCGCGGUGAAUACGUUCCUGGGUUGUGUUCACACCGCCCUAUAGGGCAAAAAAAGGUUGCCUUUUGUUUUCUCCUUUUGGUCCACCCCAU